rnacentral:rRNA from 1 species
UACGUAGGGUGCGAGCGUUAAUCGGAUUUACUGGGCGUAAAGCGUGCGCAGGCGGCCCGUUAAGACAGGUGUGAAAUCCCUGGGCUCAACCUAGGAAUUGCGCUUGUGACUGGCGGGCUCGAGUACGGUAGAGGGGGGUGGAAUUCCUGGUGUAGCAGUGAAAUGCGUAGAUAUAUGGAGGAACACCGGUGGCGAAGGCAGCCCCCUGGGCCUGUACUGACGCUCAUGCACGAAAGCGUGGGGAGCAAACAGG